AAAUUAGCCAGGCAUGGUGGUGGGCGCCUGUAGUCCCAGCUGCUUAGGAGGCUGAGGCAUGAGAAUUUCUUGAGCCUGGGAGGCGGAAGUUGCAGUGAGCCGAGAUGACACCACUGCACUCCAGCCUGGGCGACAGAGGGAGACUCUGUCUCCACAAAAAAAAAAAACAACAAAAAACAAAUGCAGAAUCUCGGGCUCCACCCCAGACCCCAGACCUAGUGGACCUGAACCUGCAUUUCAUUUUAACCAGACACCCAGGCGAUUCGUAUGCACACUAACAUUUGAGAAGCCCUGGUCUACAGGAUCCCAUUUGUUGGAGCUCACACUUGACUUUUACCUUCUCUCCCCUCCCCCAUCAAGUUGUGCUAACUUGCCCUCUGCCUUCCCCUGCAGUGUCACUACUCCAUCCAGAAGGGAGCUGCGUUUCUGGGACUUGGCACUGACAGUGUCCGAGUGGUCAAGGCUGAUGAGAGAGGGAAAAUGGUCCCCGAGGAUCUGGAGAGGCAGAUUGGUAUGGCCGAGGCUGAGGGUGCUGUGCCAUUCCUGGUCAGUGCCACCUCUGGCACCACUGUGCUAGGGGCCUUUGACCCCCUGGAGGCAAUUGCUGAUGUGUGCCAGCGUCAUGGGCUAUGGCUGCAUGUGGAUGGCUGACUCUGUGGCCUGGAAUCCCCACAAGCUCCUCGCAGCAGGCCUGCAAUGCUCUGCACUUCUUCUCCAGGAUACCUCGAACCUGCUCAAGCGCUGCCAUGGGUCCCA
rnacentral:sRNA from 1 species